AUUGAACGCUGGCGGCAGGCCUAACACAUGCAAGUCGAACGAGUGGCGGACGGGUGAGUAAUGUCUGGGAAACUGCCUGAUUGAGGGGGAUAACUACUGGAAACGGUAGCUAAUACCGCAUACCAUCGGAUGUGCCCAGAUGGGAUUAGCUAGUAGGUGGGGUAACGGCUCACCUAGGCGACGAUCCAUAGCUGGUCUGAGAGGAUGACCAGCCACAAUGGAAGUGCGACACGGUCCAGAUUCCUACGGGAGGCAGAAGGUGGGAAUAUUGCACAAUGGGGGCAAGCCUGAUGCAGCCAUGCCGCGGGUAUGAAGAAGGCCGUCGGGUUGUAAAGUACUUUCAGCGGGGAGGCGUUACUCGCAGAAGAAGCACCGGCUAACUCCGUGCCAGCCGCCGCGGUAAUUC
rnacentral:rRNA from 1 species